GUAGGCUAUGGGGACAUGGUGCCUAGAACAUAUGUUGGCAUGCUUGUUGGUGCUCUUUGUGCAUUGGCUGGUGUGCUCACAAUCGCUCUACCCGUUCCUGUGAUCGUGUCCAAU
rfam:Stegodyphus mimosarum contig26873, whole genome shotgun sequence.